rnacentral:rRNA from 1 species
CGAAGGUGGCUAGCGUUAUUCGGAUUCACUGGGCAUAAAGCGCGCGUAGGCGGCUCUUCAAGUCGGAGGUGAAAGCCUGCAGCUUAACUGCGGAACGGCCUUCGAUACUGUCGAGCUUGAGUGCAGGAGGGGUGAUCGGAACUCCAGGUGUAGCGGUGAAAUGCGUAGAUAUCUGGAGGAACACCGGAGGCGAAGGCGGAUCACUGGACUGUCACUGACGCUGAGGCGCGAAAGCUAGGGGAGCAAACAGGAUUAGAUACCCUGGUAGUCCUAGCUGUAAACGAUGAGUACUAGGCAGCGGGAAUCCGAUGUUCUCGCUGUCGAAGCGAAUGUGCUAAGUACUCCGCCUGGGGAGUACGGCCGCAAGGCUG